rnacentral:rRNA from 1 species
UACGUAGGUGGCAAGCGUUGUUCGGAAUUAUUGGGCGUAAAGGGCGCGUAGGCGGCUUCGCAAGUGGAAGGUGAAAUCCCUCGGCUUAACCGAGGAACUGCCCUCCAAACUGCGUGGCUUGAGUCCGGGAGAGGUGAGUGGAACUUAGGGUGGAGCGGUGAAAUGCGUUGAUAUCCUAAGGAACACCAGUGGCGAAAGCGACUCACUGGGUCUCUUCUGACGCUGAGGCACGAAAGCUAGGGUAGCGAACGGG